UACGAGGGGUGCAAGCGUUGCUCGGAAUUAUUGGGCGUAAAGGGUAGGUAGGUGGUCUCAUUUGUCGGGGGUGAAAGCCUUGGGCUUAACCCAAGAAGUGCCCUUGAAACGGUGAGACUGGAGUCUUGGAGAGGGUCGUGGAAUUCCCAGUGUAGCGGUGAAAUGCGUAGAGAUUGGGAGGAACACCAGAGGCGAAGGCGGCGACCUGGACAAGCACUGACACUCAACUACGAAAGCGUGGGUAGCAAACAGG
rnacentral:rRNA from 1 species